rnacentral:rRNA from 1 species
GACGAACGCUGGCGGCGUGCUUAACACAUGCAAGUCGAACGCUGAAGCUUGGUGCUUGCACUGGGUGGAUGAGUGGCGAACGGGUGAGUAAUACGUGAGUAACCUGCCCUUGACUCUGGGAUAAGCCUGGGAAACUGGGUCUAAUACUGGAUACGACAUGUCACCGCAUGGUGGUGUGUGGAAAGGGUUUUACUGGUUUUGGAUAGGCUCACGGCCUAUCAGCUUGUUGGUGGGGUAAUGGCUCACCAAGGCGACGACGGGUAGCCGGCCUGAGAGGGUGACCGGCCACACUGGGACUGAGACACGGCCCAGACUCCUACGGGAGGCAGCAGUGGGGAAUAUUGCACAAUGGGCGGAAGCCUGAUGCAGCGACGCCGCGUGAGGGAUGACGGCCUUCGGGUUGUAAACCUCUUUCAGCACGGAAGAAGCGAAAGUGGCGGUACGUGCAGAAGAAGCGCCGGCUAACUACGUG